rnacentral:rRNA from 1 species
AUGGGGGAAUGUGAUGGAUAUGUUGGUGAAGAUGACGGAGGUGUUGGUGUAGAUCGCGGUGAUGAUGAUGGCCCUAGCAGCGUUCCGGCGCCACCGGGAGAGAGUGGGAGAGAGCGCCCCUUCUUCUUCUUCAUUGACCUUCUCCCUAGAUGGGAGAAGGGUUUCCCCUCUGGUCCUUGGCUUCCAUGGCAUUGGAGGGGCGAGAGCCCCUCCGAGAUUGGAUCUGUCUCUUUGUCUCUCUCUGUUUCUGCGCUCCCAGAUUUUACCCUUUCACCGUUUCUUAUAUUCCCGGAGAUCCGUAACUUCUAUUGGAUUGAAACUUUGAACACGAUUUGUUUUUCGGAUAUUAGCUUUUUUGCGGCGAAAGAAGGGCAACAACCGCCUUUACGAGGUGUCCACGAGGGUCAGGGGCGCACCCACCCCCCUGGGGCGCGCCCCCUGCCUCCUGGGACCCUCGAGCAUCGUCUCGCGUUGAUUCCACUUCCCAAAAUUCAUAAAUAUUCCAAAAAUAAUCUCCGUCAGUUUUUAUCCCGUUUGGACUCCGUUUGA